GGAGGGCAGCAACGUGCAGAGUUAAAUGUGUGCUUAAUGAGAUUCCCGAGACAGCUAACUGGCAGUAACAGAGAGAGAGGGAGGGCACCAGAUCAUUUCAACGAUGAGGGGAAAGAACAAUGGACAGAUGGUGAUGAAGAUGACAAAGCGAGAUCCUACUACACCUUGUCACUACGCAAUGCACAAUUGAGAGCAUCGACUGUCGGGCUGUAUCACCGCCUGGUACGGCAACUGCACCGCCCACAACCGCAAGGCUCCCCAGAGGGUGGUGCGAUCUGCACAACGCAUCACCGAGGGCAAACUACCUGCCCUCCAGGACACCUACAGCACCCGAUGUCACAGGAAGACCAAAAAGAUCAUCAAGGACAACAACCACCCGAGUCACUGCCUGUUCACCUCGUUAUCAUCCAGAAGGCGAGUGGCAGGAAGGGAGAAACAUGAGUGAACCCUCCAGUCAGAGGCUAUAUCCCCAUGAGGUCAACCUGCUCCCGAAAACCAGCAGAGAAUGCGAU